CAAUGUUUCUGACAGAGUUGUACAGGCAAUACUGUAAACAGAAACAAUAUAUUGUAUCACCAAACAAUUCUAUCAAACGAAUUGACAAGUUGCAAAAGAAUCCAAAUGCUGUUUGUUUGUUACAUUCACACCAUGAUGAUUCAUACAUUUACAGUUCAAUUAAAAAAUCCCAAAUCUUGUAUAAACACAGUCCUAGCAUACGUGUAUGCUUGUAAGUCUUGUACGCUUGAAUUUCUUUUCAAUAAUAACACUCCAAUAUAGUAGAUCAAGGACAUAUGCCAUCAUUCCCAUCAAUACUCACUCAGGGUGAACCAAGAGUAUGAAUUAUUACCAUAACGAAGGCUGUUAUUU